CGCUUAGACUCCUACGGGAGGCAGCAGUGGGGAAUAUUGCACAAUGGGCGCAAGCCUGAUGCAGCCAUGCCGCGUGUAUGAAGAAGGCCUUCGGGUUGUAAAGUACUUUCAGCAGUGAGGAAGGCGGGUACGUUAAUAGCGUGCUUGUUUGACGUUAGCUGCAGAAGAAGCACCGGCUAACUCCGUGCCAGCAGCCGCGGUAAUACGGAGGGUGCGAGCGUUAAUCGGAAUUACUGGGCGUAAAGCGCAUGCAGGUGGUUUGUUAAGUCAGAUGUGAAAGCCCGGGGCUCAACCUCGGAAUUGCAUUUGAAACUGGCAGACUAGAGUACUGUAGAGGGGGUAGAAUUUCAGGUGUAGCGGUGAAAUGCGUAGAGAUCUGAAGGAAUACCGGUGGCGAAGGCGGCCCCCUGGACAGAUACUGACACUCAGAUGCGAAAGCGUGGGGAGCAAACAGGAUUAGAUACCCUGGUAG
rnacentral:rRNA from 1 species